AAGAAGAAUAGAAAACAACUUCACUGUAAUUUCUACAUCAAGAUGAAAUCUUUCGCGCCAAUUGCCUUUUUGUUUGUCUCAAGCGCCAUAAUGGCGGCGAUGUCUGCAACCGUGAACGAGUGGAGGCAAGGAGACAAUGGCCAAUCGCUCUGGGCUGUAAAUUGUGCUUUCCAGAUUGUGCAAAUGGAUCCAAAUAUUGUAUCAUUUUUUUCCACUACAUAUGCCACCAGCGGAAACUGUGGUAGAGUUUGCCUCAGAAUUCCUGAAUGUACUCACUUCGUCUAUACCAAUGAAAAUAGAUGUGGUGUAUUAAAGAAGACGAGAUACGAUUUAAAAGCUAUCAGCCACCCAAAUUUGAAAGGCAAUAUUUGUGGUUACAUUCCCAGUCGCACCUCACGCCCCCGAAAGUGAAUCUCACGAAGUCACAUAAUUGGUAAGAAAAGAAACUCGAUAAUCUAAUUCAGCUAAGCUUUCAAAAGAGGCGAUUGUCAAUCUGUAAUCUGUUACUAAUGUGUGCUGUCAGCAAAUAAGCAAAAUGCAAUUGUGCAACUGCUAAAAUUGUGUAAAAAAUCAUGCAACCCUGGCGAACAUAUGAUUUGUGAAAAUCUAAAUGUGCGUAUACUGAAAGAAUACAAAAAUUGGUUCCGUCAAACGAAAGUGAAACGAAGAAAUUAUUCCUGGUGAAAUUGAUUGGCCGUCUUUAUUCCUACCCUUUUUCUGACAAAGUUACUGAAUGACGAGUGUAGCUCAUUUCAUCACCAAAAAAGAAGCUUCGAAUACCACAAGUUUAUUUGGCUACCCAGUUGAAGGCCAAGAAAAGGGCAAACAGCAGGCUGGCUGUUGUCUUUGUGGCUGUGUAUGUUAGUUUCCUCCAACAAGUAAUGCAACAGGUUCUAUUUAUUAGC